rnacentral:rRNA from 1 species
GACGAACGCUGGCGGCGUGCCUAAUACAUGCAAGUCGAGCGAAGUUUUUCUGGUGCUUGCACUAGAAAAACUUAGCGGCGAACGGGUGAGUAACACGUAAAGAACCUGCCUCAUAGACUGGGACAACUAUUGGAAACGAUAGCUAAUACCGGAUAACAGUAUUUCUCGCAUGAGAGAUAUUUAAAAGUUGGUUAUGCUAACACUAUGAGAUGGCCUUGCGGUGCAUUAGCUAGUUGGUGGGGUAAAGGCCCACCAAGGCGACGAUGCAUAGCCGACCUGAGAGGGUGAUCGGCCACACUGGGACUGAGACACGGCCCAGACUCCUACGGGAGGCAGCAGUAGGGAAUCUUCCGCAAUGGGCGAAAGCCUGACGGAGCAACGCCGCGUGAGUGAAGAAGGAUUUCGGUUCGUAAAGCUCUGUUGUUAGGGAAGGAUGGAUAUGUAGUAACUAUACAUGUAAGAGACGGUACCUAACCAGAAAGCCACGGCUAACUACGUG